CACGGGGGGAGCAAGCGUUGUUCGGAAUCACUGGGCGUAAAGGGCGCGUAGGCGGUUGGAUAAGUCUUGUGUGAAAUCUUCGGGCUCAACUCGAAGUCUGCACGAGAAACUAUCUGGCUUGAGUGUGGGAGAGGUGAGUGGAAUUCAUGGUGUAGCAGUGAAAUGCGUAGAGAUCAUGAGGAAGACCAGUGGCGAAGGCGGGUCUCUGGACAGUUCCUGACACUGAGACACGAAGGCCAGGGGAGCAAACGGG
rnacentral:rRNA from 1 species